rnacentral:lncRNA from 1 species
GAGGGAUGUGGUAUUUGUAGGGCAUGCGCUUGGAACAAUAGAGCCAUCAAAAGGCCUUCUCCCUGGUCUCCUCCCAAGGCAGCUAGGCUCUUCUCCCCUCUUUCGGAAAGGCCGUGGCCCAACAGGUCCUCUUGGCCUGAUUUUAGGCCUGCUUUCCCAGUAAAAACACUUCAUCUGUUCUCCACAAAUCCUAAUUUAAAGUCUCCUCCUUGGACUCUUACUGAUGUAAACAUCCCAUUUUCAUUAUUUUCCAGAUAUUAUUCUUCCAUAAAUUGAUCCAGACUACCAUAGGAACCAGUCAAGAUAUUUUGCCACAGGAUCUAGGACAAGAGGAUUUACCUACUAUUGCCCACCUUGCAAAUCUCCUAGGGACCUUUCACCUGCUUCUGCUACUGCAAAUGAUUGGACAUCCAUUUACAUUUCCUCUUCUUCAUGUGUGGAAGGAAACUUUUGUUCACUGUGCUUCAGGCUGCCCCUGGCCUGAAAGUGGGUCCUUGAAUUCCCCUUGUACCAUUCCAACUUGCCAAGGUGGUUAUGAGACCUGAGGGAGGUGUUUAGGCGUGGACUUUGGGCCAGGUGUGUAAAUCCAUUUGGUACCAACUUUGGGCCCCAAGGAUAAGGGCAUGUGUAGCUGCACCAGAAGAGAGGGGAACAGUGAAAACUAAAAUUUCACCCUCUGUGAUGAUCUUCACCACCACCAGUACCAACAAUGUUGUAAGUACAGAGGAUUCACCUACCCAGUCGUUUUUCCUCUCCAUCCGGGCCCUCUGCAAGAGUGAGCCAGUGCUCAGAGAUGGUGGAGGGUAUGGCUGGUGACUCAGUCUCAACUGUGUCUCAACUGUGUCCAAAGUGUCUAGGGAGAAGUCUGCUCACCGGUAGCUAUAUCCUCUCUGGGAAGGCACAGUGCCCUAAAGUGGUGAGGCUGUAGGCCUGUGGGAACUGGGGCCUCCUGCCCCUCUUUUUAUUUUUAUUUAAUACUCACAAACUUCUCUUCAUUCCCCCCCUUUUUUUCCCUUACAGUUUCUGAAAGAAGGACGGAAGUAACACCAAGAACUCCCAGAUGAAGAGGACCUUCCUGGAUCUGUAACUGGGAUUAACCAGUUCUUUACUGGGAGAGAAAGUUUCAACUAAUCCUCAGGAUAAAAGCAAACAGGCCUGUGACUGUCCCUUGAACACUGACAGUGUAAACAAGCUUCUGGCUCCUCCAGGUCAAGCAGAGCAACACUUUUCAUUAGAAUGUUGGGU